rnacentral:rRNA from 1 species
UGGCUCAGGAUGAACGCUAGCGACAGGCUUAACACAUGCAAGUCGAGGGGCAGCAUAAAAGUAGCAAUACUUGGUGGCGACCGGCGCACGGGUGAGUAACGCGUAUGCAACCUACCUAUCAGAGGGGAAUAACCCGGCGAAAGUCGGACUAAUACCGCAUAAAACAGGGGCACCGCAUGGUGAUAUUUGUUAAAGAAAUUCGCUGAUAGAUGGGCAUGCGUUCCAUUAGGUAGUUGGUGAGGUAACGGCUCACCAAGCCGACGAUGGAUAGGGGAACUGAGAGGUUGGUCCCCCACACUGGUACUGAGACACGGACCAGACUCCUACGGGAGGCAGCAGUGAGGAAUAUUGGUCAAUGGGCGGGAGCCUGAACCAGCCAAGUCGCGUGAAGGAAGAAGGAUCUAUGGUUCGUAAACUUCUUUUGCAGGGGAAUAAAGUGCAGGACGUGUCCUGUUUUGUAUGUACCCUGAGAAUAAGGAUCGGCUAACUCCGUGCCAGCCGCAGC